rnacentral:rRNA from 1 species
UACGAAGGGUGCAAGCGUUAAUCGGAAUUACUGGGCGUAAAGCGCACGCAGGCGGUUUGUUAAGCUAGAUGUGAAAGCCCCGGGCUCAACCUGGGAGGGUCAUUUAGAACUGGCAGACUAGAGUCUUGGAGAGGGGAGUGGAAUUCCAGGUGUAGCGGUGAAAUGCGUAGAGAUCUGGAGGAACAUCAGUGGCGAAGGCGACUCCCUGGCCAAAGACUGACGCUCAUGUGCGAAAGUGUGGGUAGCGAACAGG